UACAGAGGUCCCAAGCGUUGUUCGGAUUUACUGGGCGUAAAGGGUGCGUAGGCGGUCGGGCAAGUCUGCUGUGAAAUCUCACAGCUUAACUGUGAAACUGCAUUGGAUACUAUCCGGCUCGAGGAAUGGAGGGGAGACUGGAAUACUUGGUGUAGCAGUGAAAUGCGUAGAUAUCAAGAGAACACCAGUGGCGAAGGCGAGUCUCUGGACAAUUCCUGACGCUGAGGCACGAAAGCCAGGGGAGCAAACGGG
rnacentral:rRNA from 1 species